AGCAGCGCAAAAUACAUUCGUAGAUGGGAGCGACUACAGAUUAUUAAUACUGUUAAUGAAGUUAAGGCAGACAUGUAUCACAUUUUUGGAUAAACAUUCUAACUAUGUUAUGAAGCAUAAUGUAUAAUAUAUCCUCUGAGUAACUAUACUGCAAAGAAGUGCUAUAUAGAGUGAAGCUUUGAAUGUGCAUAUUAUCUAAGAUAUAAAAAGCAAAUUUUACAGCAAAGAGAACAGGAACUUGAUGAAUUUCAUUCAACUGUAAUUGAAGGAAGUUUGAUAAUUGCAGAUCCAUUAAAAUUUCCACUUUGAAAUGUAAAGAUAUAGUUGUGUUUAAGGAUCCACUGCCUCCGAGAAAAAAAUGUCAGUGAACAAAGGAACAACAGGACAGAGAAAAAGCUCAAGGGAGAAGAGAGGAUGAAUCGAUCGAUAGAAUAGAAAUUCAUAACGAAGGAAAAGGGAAAACGAAUCCGCCCCAGAAAAAGAAACAAUUAAGAAGUAUUACUGGAAUGCGCAUCUGGAGAAAUUUAUAGAAUGCAGCUUUUAAUUAAAAUACAUCAACUGUUGAAGCGCCUGUUCUUUCAUGCAUCAUUGUAACAAUGUCAGUAACACUUCAGUAGUGUGAAGCAAAGAAAUGGAAAAGCGAAGCCUCAAAUAUAUACAACAACGAAGAAAAAAUUCAGCUGCUGCAGUAAAUAGAUCUUGAGUCUCUAUGUACUUUUCUCAUUAGAGGCUCAGUUAAAGCAAUACAUUUUUUGAAAAAUGUUAGAAGAUACGAUUCCUGUUUCCAGAUUGGUACAACAACAAAAAAUUAGAAAGUCCUGGAACAUGCAGCUAUUUACAAUUCAAGACCAAGUUUAUGAGGCUAUCCAAGUACCGCAUGGGCAGCCUUCACCCAACGAAGAGCCUAAAUUUCUUCAAAUAUAAUUUAUAGGAGAUGAUAAACAACAAGCAGAGCGGAGCUGCAAAAAGGUUCUGUCACAGACACAAUAUUUCAGUUGCGAAAAACGCUGGAUUAUCAGAACUGCAACGUUCACAGCCUCAAAUGAGCCCUGUAUAAGAUCAACCUGGAAUUCAAAAUGGUAAUCUUAGCGGAUGAAACUCCACAUAGGGAACAUGAAAGACGAUUCAGAGCACCAUUACUAGAUGAAGUGGUUUUAAUCACGAUGAGAAAAUAAUACGGAACAAGAGACAUAAUUUUAGAUGAAUGAAUUGGUACCAUAAAGAAGAUUCCUAAUAUGCACAGUACUCAAUCAUAUUUUGGCAG